CACACAUAUUGUAUCAACUGGUUAUACUGGUGUGCCCAUGUAUUUUCAAUUGUUAUUUGCGAUGCAGGUACUGUGGCCCCAGGCUGGCAGGAUAUGUAAAUGUUUGCUGCUUCCUCAUCUGCCCCCACCCACAAAAGAGACAAGCUGCCUGUCAGAGGUCACAGUAGCCCUCGGUCUGGCCAAGAGGCAACUACAGAUGUUGUCAGGCUGGCUGCUGAUUGGUUCAGAGUGAGUGGCUGGGAAAUCUCUCCCUCUAUGCUAAUAGCUUUUUUGUACGAGAAAGAAGCCUGGUGUUUGAGGAAAACUGAGUUGUCCACUUUAGCUGAGGCAGGCAGAGAGCGGCAGAGGGCUGAGAGCAGAAUGGAUGCAGGGCAGGGAGGGAAAGCAGAGGUGGGGACUCUGGCAGGGGAGUCCCUUGAGUUAGAGAGCUAGCUCACUGAGAGACCGCCCCAGCAAACAGGCCAACAGCCUUAUACCAUACAAAUGUCUCCAUGUCUUUACUAUUAACCCCCAAGAGGGACCUCCAAAAGCCCGGCAAUACCUUCUCCAUGAACCAGUAACUGACUAAAUCCUCCUGGAGAGAUGCGGCCUCAUGAGCCCCUCCGGGUGCUGAUGGAACAAAUAUUGUGCAGAUAACCAAAUGCUGACUUGCACUCUUUGCUUCCCCUCUUCUAUCGUUCCCCUGAGUCUUGGAGGCUGUUGUAUGGACGUCCCACUUAGGGCUGAGCAUCCAAGACUCAUCUCAUUGCUGACCCAGGAUGAAUCUCUGCAGUUACUGAUGCCCACCACAAAAAGAAGCUUCUCUGACCAAAACUGACUGACAGGGGUACUACCCCAGAGGCAUAAACAUAGCGAUUUGGAAGGCAAUUUGUGGGCAAAACAACAGAGGCAGUGUUCCCAUUAGGGCCUAUGAGUUUCCCAGCCGUGGAUUUCUGACUAGGUUUACAAUGACAGAUAUGAAUGUUCCCUUGGGUGGUGGGCCUCAAAUUCCAUCAGGAAUUUACUCCCGUACCAGGCUCGCCCCUCUUUCACCCAUGGGUUCAUGUUGCCCGGCCUGUCAGUAGUGCAGCAUGUGAGGCUUACAACUAAGAAGGCUGUUGAUGGUGACUCUCUUCCAGCAGCCUGCACAGAAUUCUGUGGUACCAGCCAGCAGGGAGGAAGCUUUAUUUCUCCACGUCCUACAAGCCAGAGAGCAUGGCAUCUUCAGCAACGGAGGUUUAGCAUAUAACUCCAGUGAGCAGCCAACGGAAGCAGCAGCUGUUUUAAGACAUGGUAUCAUGGAGCCCAGGAUGGACCGGAACUUGGCUGUAUAGCUGAGGAUGAUCUUGAACUGAUCCUCCUGCCUCCAAACCUCAAGUGCUGGAUUACAAUGCACCCGCCAUCACACCGUGUCUGAGACACGGUUUCCAGGGCCCCACAGAAAAGCUCAGAUGAUUGCACUGACCGUUUGGAGAUGACGAAGGGUUAACACUGACUUCCUUUCCAGAAGAAAGUCUUAGCUUCCAGUUGCCUUUCAUCUCAUCAGCCACAUCGACUUAAAUGGCUACGUAUGUCAUUGCUUGUUUAUUGUCUGUCUUUCCUGGUUCGAACUUAAGGAGAGAUUAUGUUCCUUUUACUUCUAGAUCUUCUUUCCUUGAGACGGACUGUCAUGUAGCCCAGGCUAGCCUAGGACUCAAUAUUUA
ensembl:lncRNA